UUGGUGCAUUCCUUAUUGUCAUAAUUAUGAGAUAAUAAUGUUUCUAGAACUUAGUAACUGCAUUACUUCUUGGCAGAAUUGACCUUUUUCCCAUAAAGGAUCUGAAAUAAUAGAGAAUAUUCUUGUUCUUCUUCUUCAGGCUCCACCCAAUUCUGUGAUUUCUGCUCAUCCCUCUCAGAUUGGGGAGAGAUCGGACAGUGAAUUUUCAGAAAAUUUAUCACUAGACUCAAUUGGUUUUCCGACCCCUGCUAUUCCCUCUAUUCCAAUUGAGGAUUUCCAGUUCUGCGAGUGGCUUGGCAGUAGAAGCUUUGGACAAGUCUUUAAGGCAGUACAUAAAAAGUCUGGAAAAACAGUCGCCAUCAAAAGGAUGGAAAAGAAAAAUGUUUUGCGAAGUGAUAUGAUUGACAGGUUGGUAUCU